UACGGGGGGUGCGAGCGUUGUCCGGAAUCACUGGGCGUAAAGGGCGCGUAGGUGGUUUGAUAAGGGUGUGGUGAAAGUCCGGGGCUCAACCCCGGAUCUGCCGUGCCGACUGUCAAACUCGAGGACUGUAGAGGCAGACGGAAUUCCGGGUGUAGCGGUGGAAUGCGUAGAUAUCUGGAGGAAUACCGGUGGCGAAGGCGGCAUCCUGGACCGGCAUUGACGCUGAGUGAGCGAAAGCCAGGGAGCAACGGG
rnacentral:rRNA from 1 species